rnacentral:rRNA from 1 species
UGGGGAAUUUUGGACAAUGGGGGAAACCCUGAUCCAGCCAUCCCGCGUGUGCGAUGAAGGCCUUCGGGUUGUAAAGCACUUUUGGCAGGAAAGAAACGUCAUGGGUUAAUACCCCGUGAAACUGACGGUACCUGCAGAAUAAGCACCGGCUAACUACGUGCCAGCAGCCGCGGUAAUACGUAGGGUGCAAGCGUUAAUCGGAAUUACUGGGCGUAAAGCGUGCGCAGGCGGUUCGGAAAGAAAGAUGUGAAAUCCCAGAGCUCAACUUUGGAACUGCAUUUUUAACUACCGGGCUAGAGUGUGUCAGAGUGAGGUGGAAUUCAGCGUGUAGCAGUGAAAUGCGUAGAUAUGCGGAGGAACACCGAUGGCGAAGGCAGCCUCCUGGAAUAACACUGACGCUCAUGCACGAAAGCGUGGGGAGCAAACAGG